rnacentral:rRNA from 1 species
GACGAACGCUGGCGGCGUGCCUAACACAUGCAAGUCGAGCGGACGAAGGGAGCUUGCUCCCUGAGUUAGUGGCGAACGGGUGAGUAACGCGUGAGUAACCUGCCUUUCAGUGGGGGACAACAGCCGGAAACGGCUGCUAAUACCGCAUAAUGCAUCGGAUUCGCAUGUUUUUGAUGCCAAAGAUUUUAUCGCUGAAAGAUGAGCUCGCGUCUGAUUAGCUAGUUGGCGGGGUAACGGCCCACCAAGGCGACGAUCAGUAGCCGGACUGAGAGGUUGAACGGCCACAUUGGGACUGAGACACGGCCCAG